rnacentral:rRNA from 1 species
GGUUGUCGUCAGCUCGUGUCGUGAGAUGUUGGGUUUAAGUCCCCGGCAACCGAGCGCAACCCCUAUUGUUAGUUGCCAUCAUUCAGUUGGGCACUCUAGCGAGACUGCCGGUAAUAAACCGGAGGAAGGUGGGGAUGACGUCAAAUCAUCAUGCCCCUUAUGACCUGGGCUACACACGUGCUACAAUGGUUGGUACAACGAGUUGCGAGUCGGUGACGGCGAGCUAAUCUCUUAAAGCCAAUCUCAGUUCGGAUUGUAGGCUGCAACUCGCCUACAUGAAGUCGGAAUCGCUAGUAAUCGCGGAUCAGCACGCCGCGGUGAAUACGUUCCCGGGCCUU